rnacentral:rRNA from 1 species
CUACGGGCUGCUGCAGUGGGGAAUAUUGCACAAUGGAGGAAACUCUGAUGCAGCAACGCUGCGUGGAGGAUGACACUUUUCGGAGCGUAAACUCCUUUUAUAUAGGAAGAAGAUGACGGUACUAUAUGAAUAAGCGCCGGCUAACUCCGUGCCAGCAGCCGCGGUAAUACGGAGGGCGCAAGCGUUACUCGGAAUCACUGGGCGUAAAGAGCGUGUAGGCGGAUUAAAAGGUCAGAAGUGAAAUCCUAUAGCUUAACUAUAGAACUGCUUCUGAAACUCUUAAUCUAGAAUAUGGGAGAGGUAGAUGGAAUUUCUGGUGUAGGGGUAAAAUCCGUAGAGAUCAGAAGGAAUACCGAUUGCGAAGGCGAUCUACUAGAACAUUAUUGACGCUGAGACGCGAAAGCGUGGGGAGCAAACAGGAUUAGAUACCCCCGUAGUC